CGUAGGUGGCAAGCGUUGUCCGGAGUUACUGGGUGUAAAGGGCGUGUAGGCGGGAAGAUAAGUCAGAUGUGAAAUUCCAUGGCUCAACUGUGGCGCUGCAUCUGAAACUAUUUUUCUUGAGUGAUGGAGAGGAAAGCGGAAUUCCUAGUGUAGCGGUGAAAUGCGUAGAUAUUAGGAGGAACACCAGUGGCGAAGGCGGCUUUCUGGACAUUAACUGACGCUGAGGCGCGAAAGCGUGGGGAGCAAACAGGAUUAGAUACCCUGGUAGUCCACGCUGUAAACGAUGGAUACUAGGUGUAGGAGGUAUCGACCCCUUCUGUGCCGGAGUUAACACAAUAAGUAUCCACCUGGGGAGUACGGCCGCAAGGUUG
rnacentral:rRNA from 1 species